ACUCGAGUGGCGAACGGGUGAGUAACACGUGGGUGAUCUGCCCUGCACUUCGGGAUAAGCUUGGGAAACUGGGUCUAAUACCGGAUAGGAGCCAUCUUUAGUGUGGUGGUUGGAAAGUUUUUCGGUGUAGGAUGAGCUCGCGGCCUAUCAGCUUGUUGGUGGGGUAAUGGCCUACCAAGGCGGCGACGGGUAGCCGGCCUGAGAGGUUGGUCGGCCACAUUGGGACUGAGAUACGGCCCAG
rnacentral:rRNA from 1 species